AACGGCUGAGUAACACGUGGGCAACCUGCCCCCCUCAUCGGGAUAGCCUCGGGAAACCGUGGGUAAUACCGAAUACUCCGGCACCCCCGCAUGGGGGAGCCGGGAAAGCUCCGGCGGAGGGGGAUGGGCCCGCGGCCUGUUAGCUUGUUGGCGGGGUAACGGCCCACCAAGGCGAUUAUGGGUAGCCGGGUUGAGAGACCGACCGGCCAGAUUGGGACUGAGACACGGCCCAGACUCCUACGGGAGGCAGCAGUGGGGAAUCUUGCACAAUGGGCGAAAGCCUGAUGCAGCGACGCCGCGUGCGGGACGAAGGCCUUCGGGUUGUAAACCGCUUUCAGCAGGGACGAGGCCGCAAGGUGACGGUACCUGCAGAAGAAGCCCCGGCUAACUACGUGCCAGCAGCCGCGGUAAUACGUAGGGGGCGAGCGUUAUCCGGAUUCAUUGGGCGUAAAGCGCGCGUAGGCGGCCUGUUAGGUCGGGAGUCAAAUCCGGGGGCUCAACCCCCGCCCGCUUCCGAUACCGGCAGGCUUGAGUCUGGUAGGGGAAGGUGGAAUUCCCAGUGUAGCGGUGAAAUGCGUUGAUAUCCUGUAGAACACCGGAGGCGAAGGCGGAUUCCUUGAACGGUACUGACGCUGAGGCGCGAAAGUCGGGGGAGCAAACAGGAUUAGAUACCCUGGUAGUCCCGACCUUAAACGGUGCGCACUCGGGGUGGGGCCAUUUCACCGGCCCCGUCCCCAAGCUAACGCGAUAAGUGCGCCGCCUGGGGAGUACGGCCGCAAGGCUAAAACUCAAAGAAAUUGACGGGGGCCCGCACAAGCAGAGGAGCAUGUGGCUUAAUUCGAUGCAACGCGAAGAACCUUACCUGGGCUUGACAUGCAGCUGCAAGGCCUAUGAAAGUAGGCCGCCUUCGAGGGUGCUGCACAGGUGCUGCAUGGCUGUCGUCAGUUCGUGCCGUGAGGUGUUUGGUUAAGUCCACCAACGAACGCAACCCCUUUGGGAUGUUGCCAGCGGGUAAAGCCGGGAACUCGUCCCAGACUGCUUGUUCACGCAAGAGGAAGGUGGGGAUGACGUCAAGUCAGUAUGGCCCUUACGUCCAGGGCUGCACACGUGCUACAAUGGCCGGUACAGAGGGACCCGAUGCCGCGAGGCGGAGGAAACCCCAGAGAGCCGGCCCCAGUUCAGAUCGGGGUCUGCAACCCGACCCCGUGAAGUCGGAUUUGCUAGUAACGGCGCAUCAGCUACGGCGCCGUGAAUGCGUUCCCGGGCCUUGUACACACCGCCCGUCACAUCAUGAAAGCCGUCUGCACCCGAAGU
rnacentral:rRNA from 1 species